CGGCUGGGGGCUUUAUUAGGGGGCACCGGGGUCUGCUUUCCGACUCCCUUCCGACUCCGCGCCUGCGCAGGAAGCGAUUUGGGGAGUGUUGUGAAUUCCGAGGGCUCCACACUUAAGAGGUUGUACACUCACCUGUCUACCUGGACUCCAAUUUCCAUAUUUCCAGCCACUUGAGGACUGAGAGGUGGAUGAUAAACCCUGUCAUAGUGGAGCAAGUUCAGUUCAUUGGAAAUUUCUGCUUCUUUGAGACUGAGGUUAUAUUCCACUUCUUCUGACUACACCACCACCAUCAAUCUCCUUCUCUGAACUCUUGGAUCAUUACUUCAACCUGAAACAACUCAUCAGGCAGAAUAGUUGCCUACUGCCCCAACCCCACCAAAUGUUCCAGCACCUCUGAUAUUACCUCACAUGGCAAGAGGGCUUUGAAGAUGUGAUUGAGUCAAGGAUCUUGAAUGGGGAGAUUAUCCUGAAUUAUUCAGCUGGACCCAGUGUAAUCACAAAGGUUUUUCAAAGAUGGAAGAGAGGCAGAAGAGCCAGAAAAGGAUAUGUGACAAUGGAGUCAGUGUCAGAGUUGGAGUGACGUGAUGUGAGAAGGAUUCAACCUGCUGUUUCUGGCUUUGAGGAUGAAAGAAGGGGCCAUGAGCCAAGCAAUACAGGUGGCUUCUUUCAAGAAGUUGGAAAAGGUAAGGAAAUGGGUUCUCACCUAGAACUGCUGGAAAGCAACCCAGCCCUACUGACACCAUGAUUUUAGCUCAGUGAGACUCUGUCCAGAUUUCUGACCUCUAGAACUAUAAGAUAAUAAAUUUGCAUUGUUUUAAGCCACUAA
rnacentral:lncRNA from 1 species